rnacentral:rRNA from 1 species
CAGGACGAACGCUGGCGGCGUGCCUAAUACAUGCAAGUCGAACGGUCUUUCUAUGGAAGCUUGCUUCCACUGAGAAGAUAGUGGCGAACGGGUGAGUAACACGUGGGUAACCUGCCCAUAAGAGGGGGGAUAACAUCCGGAAACGGGUGCUAAUACCGCAUAGUUUUCUUGAUCGCAUGAUCGGGAAAGGAAAGACGGCCUUUGUGCUGUCGCUUAUGGAUGGACCCGCGGCGUAUUAGUUAGUUGGUGAGGUAAUGGCUCACCAAGACGAUGAUACGUAGCCGACCUGAGAGGGUGAUCGGCCACAUUGGGACUGAGACACGGCCCAAACUCCUACGGGAGGCAGCAGUAGGGAAUCUUCCGCAAUGGACGAAAGUCUGACGGAGCAACGCCGCGUGAGUGAAGAAAAGGUUUUCGGAUCGUAAAACUCUGUUGUCAGAGAAGAACAAGUUGGAGAGUAACUGCUCCAGCCUUGACGGUAUCUGACCAGAAAGCCACGGCUAACUACGUGCCAGCAGCGGC